rnacentral:rRNA from 1 species
UACGAAGGGGGCUAGCGUUGCUCGGAAUCACUGGGCGUAAAGGGUGCGUAGGUGGAUUUUUAAGUCAGGGGUGAAAUCCUGGAGCUCAACUCCAGAACUGCCUUUGAUACUGAAAGUCUUGAGUUCGGGAGAGGUGAGUGGAACUGCGAGUGUAGAUGUGAAAUUCGUAGAUAUUCGCAAGAACACCAGUGGCGAAGGCGGCUCACUGGCCCGAUACUGACACUGAGGCACGAAAGCGUGGGGAGCAAACAGG